CUCAAAGCUCUCUAAUGAAGAGGAGACAUCCUUUCCAACAAGUAAUUACAGCAGAGUUGAGAAGACUAUUGUUCAUGCAGCUGCUUGUGAGGUUCAUGGAAGUAGGACGGAGAGGAAUGCUGGGAGUGUGCAGGCACAGCAGAGCCACUGAAGAAUUUUUAAAGCAGGCAACUGAGGUUGAACUGUACAUUUUACAGAUGGUCACAUGGAAAGUGGGUUGGAGACAUAAAGACCAUUGAGAAGCUCCUGCAAGUCCAGCACUGAGGAGCAGAGGUGCUGACUGACCAACUAACCUGAUAAUGGAAGGGAAGGGGUUGAACUCAAGACCUUGCACUUGCCAAGCAGACGCUGUGCCGCUGAGCUACAUCCCCAGCUGAAAAAUGCCUCUUAAAUAGUCUUCUUGUUUCAUUGUAUAUGUGCUGCCGAAGGGAGCACUUUCCUGUUUCAUUGUUAUCUCCUCCUCCUAUCAAGGAUCCCCCAGACUACUUGAAGUUUCAGUGAUUUGGUAAGAAGACAUACAGGGCUCAGAAUAUAAUCAUACAGCUAUGAUUUAGUAUAGCAAAGACAUUCAAAGAAAAAUCAACAGAUGGAAAAGGGACAGGGGACAAAGUCCAGAGGAAACCAGACCCAAAUUUCCAAGGGUCUUCUACCACUGAAGUCACAUAGGAUGACUUUAUUUCCCCCAACAAUGCCUUGUGAUGACAUUAAGUGAGAUGUUAGUAACCAGAUAAACUUGCACGAGACUCAGCACCCAGGCCUUACAGUACAUUGGGAGCCAGUCAUUUAGCCACUCUCUGCCUCUAUAUAUCAAAUUUUCAGAUUCCUCAGAGGAAAGCAGAAUUGUUCUGAAUUGUUACGGUUUAACAGUUUUUGUCCUACUAAAAUUCAUGUGUUGAGGGCUGGGGAUUUAGCUCAGUGGUUUUGCCACCUGCUGCGCAAGCACAAGGUCCCGAGUUCAAUCCCUGGUACCAAAAAAUAAAAAUAAAAUAAAAUAAAAAAAUAAAAUUCGUGUGUUGAAAUCCUCACAAGUUGAUGUUAUUAAGAGGUUGGUCUUUUGGGGGGUGGUGAUUAGGUAAGGAGGGCAGAAUCUUCAUGAAUGGGAUUAGUGCCCUUAUAAAAGACAUCCAAGAGAGACCUCUCAUCCUUUCCACCAUGUAAGGACACAGCG
rnacentral:lncRNA from 1 species